GACUGGAGCGUCGAUUGAAAAAUUGGGAUUGUUCCUCGCACAAGGUGGAGAAACUAAUAAAUUUGGUGACUGCAACGAAGAGGUGUGAGUGUUGUGUGAUGCGCGGGGCCAUGAGGGAGGAAGCAAUAUUUUCAUCAGCCCGAGAAUAUGAUCACCACACAGCUUCUAGGGCUUUUUCAAGAACCGUCGGUACCAUUGUCAUCUUUGUUGGUGUCUUUGGAUUCAAGACUUCUAUGUCUUACAUGUGAAACUUGUACAAAGAGGGUGUCACAGCCUCCCAUUGAAUAACAAGUUGCGGCUCAAACGCAAGCCAAAGAGACGACAUAUGCAAUUAAGACCCAGCUGAGUAAC